CUCGCGCCUCUCAAGCUCGCAUCUCUCUCUCGCUCUCAAACUUACCCUCAAUCCCUCAUCUCUCAUCGAAACUCCCUAUGUCAAAAGCUCCCAAACCUCACGUCUUCCUCAGAAUCGCUCACGAUGCUAACGAAACUAUGGUUCAAAAGGGGGUCGAGUGAAAAUCUCACCUUCAGCGGUGAAGAUAGCUCCGACGAUGCUUUAAUCCUCCUUCCUCGCCUCUCUAAUCCAGGCUGAUUAGGGUUACAAAUGAUGCUCAGAAGGUCGAAAGGAGAAAGUUCCAGGAUUGCUUUUUGAUGCUCAGAGAUGAUUGCCCUGUUUGAUCAUUGGACUCGGAAAGUGAAAAUUUGGGGUAGUGGAUGAGUUUUUUUCAAGAAGGCGCAUUCGUAAACGUCACCUGAAACUGGUUCUCCAACAUGCCCAGAAGAUAUAAGCAUUGCCUUCAAGUAUUGAAUACAGGGAGAUUCCUGUUAUGAUCGCUUGCAUAGGAUAUCAGGCUUUUGAGUUGUGAGCAUGGAUUUAUUGGUCCAGAAGCAAAGGACGUCGACCUCUUCAGUUGCAAAAAAACAAAUAUAGAUUAUUACAUACACAAUGAUGGGUCUG